CCUACGGGAGGCAGCAGUAAGGAAUAUUGGUCAAUGGAGGCAACUCUGAACCAGCCAUGCCGCGUGCAGGAUGACGGCCCUAUGGGUUGUAAACUGCUUUUAUACAAGAGAAAACCCUGGUACGUGUACCAGGUUGAUAGUAUUGUAAGAAUAAGCAUCGGCUAACUUCGUGCCAGCAGCCGCGGUAAGACGAAGGAUGCAAGCGUUAUCCGGAUUCAUUGGGUUUAAAGGGUGCGUAGGCGGACUGAUAAGUCAGUGGUGAAAUCUCUUUGCUUAACAAAGAAACUGCCAUUGAUACUGUCGGUCUAGAGUAUAGAUGACGUUGGCGGAAUAUGACAUGUAGUGGUGAAAUACUUAGAUAUGUCAUAGAACACCGAUUGCGAAGGCAGCUAACGAAACUAUAACUGACGCUGAGGCACGAAAGUGCGGGGAUCAAACAGGAUUAGAUACCCUGGUAGUCCGCACCGUAAACGAUGAUUACUCGUUGUUGGCGAUAUGACAGUCAGCGACCAAGCGAAAGCGAUAAGUAAUCCACCUGGGGAGUACGCCGGCGAACGGUGAAACUCAAAUGAAAUUGACGGCGNGAGAGNGCGACGGACGACACGAGGGAGGUAGG
rnacentral:rRNA from 1 species